AAACGCUUGAAGUCAGUCGCGUUGGCCGGGAAUCAGCCUUGCUUUUGCUUGGUGUACUUUCUGGUUGACGGGCCAGCAUCAGUUUUGACCGGUGGAAAAAGUUCAGGGGAAUGUGGCAUCUUCGGGUGUGUUAUAGCCUUUGUUCGUAUACAUCGGUUGGGACUGAGGAACUCAGCACGCCGCAAGGCCGGGUCUUUGACCACGUUCGUGCUUAGGAUGCUGGCAUAAUGGCUUUAAUCGA
rnacentral:rRNA from 1 species